rnacentral:rRNA from 1 species
UACAGAGGUCCCGAGCGUUGUUCGGAUUCACUGGGCGUAAAGGGUGCGCAGGUGGGUUGGCAAGUUUGAUGUGAAAGCCCCGGGCUUAACCCGGGAAUGGCAUUGAAUACUGCUGAUCUGGAGGAUUGGAGGGGGGACUGGAAUUCUUGGUGUAGCAGUGAAAUGCGUAGAUAUCAAGAGGAACGCCAGUGGCGAAGGCGAGUCCCUGGACAAUACCUGACACUGAGGCACGAAAGCUAGGGGAGCAAACAGG